rnacentral:rRNA from 1 species
CAAUAGCGUAUAUUUAAGUUGUUGCAGUUAAAAAGCUCGUAGUUGGAUUUCGGUUAAGAGCGACCGGUCCGCCGUUUGGUGUGCACUGGUUGGUUUUAACUUCCUGUAGAGGACGUGCUCUGGGUUUAACGACCUGGACUCGGAGUCUACGUGGUUACUUUGAAAAAAUUAGAGUGUUCAAAGCGGGCUUACGCUCGAAUAUUUCAGCAUGGAAUAACACUAUAGGACUCCUGUCCUAUUUCGUUGGUCUCGGGACGGGAGUAAUGAUUAAGAGGAACAGUUGGGGGCAUUCGUAUUUCAUUGUCAGAGGUGAAAUUCUUGGAUUUAUGAAAGACGAACUUCUGCGAAAGCAUUUGCCAAGGAUGUUUNCAUUA